rnacentral:rRNA from 1 species
AUUGAACGCUGGCGGCAUGCCUUACACAUGCAAGUCGAACGGCAGCACGGGAGCAAUCCUGGUGGCGAGUGGCGAACGGGUGAGUAAUAUAUCGGAACGUGCCCGGUCGUGGGGAUAACGUAGCGAAAGCUACGCUAAUACCGCAUACGAUCUAUGGAUGAAAGCGGGGGAUCGCAAGACCUCGCGCGAUUGGAGCGGCCGAUAUCAGAUUAGGUAGUUGGUGAGGUAAAGGCUCACCAAGCCGACGAUCUGUAGCUGGUCUGAGAGGACGACCAGCCACACUGGGACUGAGACACGGCCCAGACUCCUACGGGAGGCAGCAGUGGGGAAUUUUGGACAAUGGGCGCAAGCCUGAUCCAGCCAUGCCGCGUGCAGGAUGACGGUCCUAUGGAUUGUAAACUGCUUUUGUACGAGAAGAAACAACAUUACGUGUAAUGUCUUGACGGUAUCGUAAGAAUAAGGAU